AACGAACGCUGGCGGCGUGCCUAACACAUGCAAGUCGAACGUGAUUGGAAGCUUGCUUCCAUGAAAGUGGCGCACGGGUGAGUAACGCGUAGAUAAUCUGCCUGAUGAUCCGGAAUAACAGUUCGAAAGGACUGCUAAUACCGGAUAAGCCCACGGAGUCCUCGGACUCUGCGGGAAAAGGGGGGGAUCGCAAGACCUUCCGUAAUCAGAUGAGUCUGCGUACCAUUAGCUAGUUGGUAGGGUAAAGGCCUACCAAGGCGACGAUGGUUAGCUGGUCUGAGAGGAUGAUCAGCCACACUGGAACUGAGACACGGUCCAGACUCCUACGGGAGGCAGCAGUGGGGAAUUUUGCGCAAUGGGGGAAACCCUGACGCAGCAACGCCGCGUGAGUGAUGAAGGCCCUUGGGUCGUAAAGCUCUGACAGAGGGAAAGAAAUGCAGGGUGGCUAAUAUCCAUCUUGCUUGACGGUACCCUCAAAGGAAGCACCGGCUAACUCCGUGCCAGCCGCCGCCGUAAUAC
rnacentral:rRNA from 1 species